rnacentral:rRNA from 1 species
UACGGAGGGGGCUAGCGUUGUUCGGAAUUACUGGGCGUAAAGCGCACGUAGGCGGAUGUUCAAGUCGGGGGUGAAAUCCCGGGGCUCAACCCCGGAAUGGCCUCCGAUACUGGAUGUCUUGAGGUCUGGAGAGGUGAGUGGAAUUCCGAGUGUAGAGGUGAAAUUCGUAGAUAUUCGGAGGAACACCAGUGGCGAAGGCGGCUCACUGGCCAGAUACUGACGCUGAGGUGCGAAAGCGUGGGGAGCAAACAGG